GACGAACGCUGGCGGCGUGCUUAACCCAUGCAAGUCGAACGGGCCUGUCUUCUUUUUUGGGGGGUGGGUUGAGUGGCGAACGGGUGAGUAUCACGUGAGUAACCUGCCCUUCGGUCCUGGAUAACCGCUUGAAAGGGCGGCUAAUACGGGGUGGUCCGGUUGGUCCGCAUGGGCUGGUCGGGAUAGAUUCACUGUUUUUGGUGUUUCGGCGGGGGAUGGGCUCGCGGCCUAUCAGCUUGUUGGUGGGGUGAUGGCCCACCAAGGCGGUGACGGGUAGCCGGCCUGAGAGGGUGGGCGGCCACACUGGGACUGAGAUACGGCCCAGACUCCUGCGGGAGGCAGCAGUGGGGGGUAUUGCACAAUGGGCGGAAGCCUGAUGCAGCGACGUCGCGUGAGGGAUGGAGGCCUUCGGGUUGUGAACCUCUGUUUCCGGUGGUGAAGGCCCUGUCCGUGUGGUGGGGUUGACGGUAGCCGGGGAUGAAGCGCCGGCUAACUACGUG
rnacentral:rRNA from 1 species